GCCACGGUAAGGGAGCAGGCAGACCAAGCACGUUUUGCAACUUCAGGCCAGGAUGCAGGUUUUUUUGGGGGCCUCUUUACUGACGGGGAAACCCAGCCGGCUACACAGAAAUAGUCACUGCAAUUUCAUCUGCGCAAAGCCCUCUCACGGAGCCUGCAAUCUACUGGAGAACAGGGGGCAAAGACAAAGCACUUGUUUACCAAGUCUGAGCUUGCGGAUGACAGGAAGGACUGGCAGAACACUUUGUUUUUAACAUCACCGGCUAAAACCUCUGUGGUGCCCCUUUGCAUCUCAAACAGUGAUAAAGCACAGCAGUGGGACAAUAGCAACCUGUGCCAUUUGCUGCCAGCUAGAGAGAUACGCAGUUAAUUUACGACACAACCCCUGACCAUCACCCUGCCAACGUUUGCACGCCACCUGAGAUGGUGGUAGACUGUUCAAACCGUUUCAAUUUGCCUUUCCUCUGGCCGCUUUUCAAAUGCACUGGAAAGCCCUUCCUUGGAAGGAUAUCAAAGGAGAACCAGCUCCUCUGGGAGGCCUCUGAGAUGUAGCGCCAUGGCGAACCGUGCUGAGACACGAGACACCUAGCAGGUCCUGCUUUCUCAUGGACAUUGAAAUCAAAUACCACAUCUGCAUCCCCGCUUAAGUUAAUGGGAGCAGGCACCUGGAUACCUUUGUCCCAGGGCAAAUGUGAAGUAUGCAAAGUGUCUUCCUGACAUCAAGGAGAGGCUUCUGCCUCACACACACUGGAGCCCCAGUCCUGCAAGGAUGCAAUCACAGGCUUUUCUUCCCAUAAAGGGAGUUCCUUACUGCUGUCUUUGAAGUAUCAAAACUUGGCGCUACUGGAGAGAGUCCAGCGGAGGGCUACCAAGAUGAUUAGAAGGCUGGAGCACCUCUCCUAUGAAGAAAG